rnacentral:snRNA from 1 species
UCGGCGUUCGAAUUGUAG